rnacentral:rRNA from 1 species
UACGGAGGGAGCUAGCGUUGUUCGGAAUUACUGGGCGUAAAGCGCACGUAGGCGGCGCAGCAAGUCAGGGGUGAAAUCCCGGAGCUCAACUCCGGAACUGCCUUUGAAACUGCAGUGCUAGAAUCUUGGAGAGGCGAGUGGAAUUCCGAGUGUAGAGGUGAAAUUCGUAGAUAUUCGGAAGAACACCAGUGGCGAAGGCGACUCGCUGGACAAGUAUUGACGCUGAGGUGCGAAAGCGUGGGGAGCAAACAGG